GGACCCGCACAAGUAGUGGAGCAUGUGGUUUAAUUCGAAGAUACGCGCAGAACCUUACCAACACUUGACAUGUUCGUCGCGACUUUAAGAGAUUAAAGUUUUCGGUUCGGCCGGACGAAACACAGGUGCUGCAUGGCUGUCGUCAGCUCGUGUCGUGAGAUGUUGGGUUAAGUCCCGCAACGAGCGCAACCCUCACUUUUAGUUGCCAUCAUUUAGUUGGGCACUCUGAAAGAACUGCCAGUGAUAAGCUGGAGGAAGGUGGGGAUGACGUCAAGUCCUCAUGGCCCUUACGUGUUGGGCUACACACGUGCUACAAUGGUGGGGACAACGAGUCGCGAACCCGCGAGGGUAAGCUAAUCUUCAAACCCCAUCUCAGUUCGGAUCGGAGUCUGCAACUCGACUCCGUGAAGUUGGAAUCGCUAGUAA
rnacentral:rRNA from 1 species